rnacentral:rRNA from 1 species
UACGGAGGGGGCUAGCGUUGUUCGGAAUUACUGGGCGUAAAGCGCACGUAGGCGGCUAUUCAAGUCAGAGGUGAAAGCCCGGGGCUCAACCCCGGAAUUGCCUUUGAAACUAGAUAGCUCGAAUCUGGGAGAGGUGAGUGGAAUUCCGAGUGUAGAGGUGAAAUUCGUAGAUAUUCGGAAGAACACCAGUGGCGAAGGCGGCGCACUGGACCAGUAUUGACGCGGAGGUGCGAAAGCGUGGGGAGCAAACAGG